AGGAAACUCACCAAAACUAGUUUGAGGAAAGAGAGAAAUUAAAUGGCGGGGCAGAGGUGAUUUCAUAGUCUCUGUGAGCAAAAGCAUAGGCAGGCCUCAUGGGACCCUGGAAAAAGAACAGAAAUACCUGCAAAUGAAGUUCCACUCUCAUUCUCUUACCGGGGGCCAUUCCUGCAUUGCACCCGCAGAUGUUGCUGCUACUCUGCAAGAAAUUUGUGGGGUUCUAACCUCUGCCUCACCAUGUGUCUGCUUCAGUUUCUUCUUUCUGCCAAGGUGGAAAGUGGCCAUCCCAACUGUACCUUUGCAGGACCCAACGCUGACCAUUGAGAGACUCUGGGUCAACUCCAAGCUGGAAUGAGAAAGAGUUGAGUCGACCUAUCCUCAAGCCCAACCAGAAUCCCUCCAUUCCCGUUUUCCUUCCCUGUUAAUCUCUCUCUUCUUCAUUAAUCUUUUCAUUGCUUCAGUAUGGUAACCCAAACUGGUGGAAAGGGGACAGAAAAUGGCACAAUCAGAAACUGAAGCCACAAAGACCUAACAUCCUAUGGAUGAGAUUAUCCAUCUGCUGGAGAGAUGACUUGAAGUGUACAGCAGAUAAGCUUAGAGGGCCUCUCCAGACCCGUCGCAAAGAUGCAAUCUGAAUGUAAUUUAAGAUAAAUAGUAAUCAUGGAAACACUAUCAUAUUAAUCACAGAAAUAAAUGCAGUCCAUGGGCUCUACGUUUGUGGAUUCAACCAACUGAGAAUUGAAAAUAUCCAGAAAAGAAAAAUGGAUGGUUCUGUCUGGACCAAACAUAAAAAAAUUUGCUCAGCAGCUGCCAGCGAGUCUCAUGAGUUUGAUUAGCCUGAACCAAUCAUCCAGAACUUCAAUGAAUUCACAGAAUUGAGCUCCUGAACCCUCAGAUCUGAAGAUCUUGGUGACCUUGUCAAGGUGCCA
rnacentral:lncRNA from 10 species